CCGUACUACCAGAAAGGCACGGCUAACUACGUGCCAGCAGCGCGGUAAUACGUAGGUGGCAAGCGUUAUCCGGAAUAUGGGCGUAAAGCGCGCGCAGGUGGUUUCUAAGUUUGAUGUGAAAGCCCACCGCUCAACCGUGGAGGGUCAUUGGAAACUGGGAGACCUGAGUGCAGAAGAGGAAAGUGGAAUUUCAUGUGUAGCGGUGAAAUGCGUAGAGAUAUGGAGGAACACCAGUGGCGAAGGCGACUUUCUGGUCUGUAACUGACACUGAGGCGCGAAAGCGUGGGGAGCAAACAGGAUUAGAUACCCUGGUAGUUCACGCCGUUAACGAUGAGUGGUUAGUGUUAGAGGGUUUUCGCCCCUUAGUGGUGAAGUUAACGCCUUAAGCACUCCGCCUGGGGAGUACGGCCGCAAGGCUGAAACUCAAAGGAAUUGACGGGGGCCCGCACCAGCGGUGGAGCCUGUGGUUUAAUUUGAAGCAACGCGAAGAACCUUACCAGGUCUUGACAUCCUUUGACAACCCUAGAGAUAGGGGUUUUCCUUUGGGAGCAGAGUGACCGGUGGUGCAUGGUUGUUGUCAGCUCGUGUCGUGAGAUGUUGGGUUAAGUCCCGCAACGAGCGCAACCCUUGAUUUUAGUUGCCAUCAUUUAGUUGGGCACUUUAAGGUGACCGCCGGUGACAAACCGGAGGAAGGUGGGGAUGACGUCAAAUCAUCAUGCCCCUUAUGACCUGGGCUACACACCUGCUACAAUGGACGGUACAAAGAGCUGCAAGACCGCGAGGUGGAGCUAAUUUCAUAAAACCGUUUUCAGUUCGGAUUGUUGGCUGCAACUUGCCUACCUGAAGCCGGAAUCGCUUGUAAUCGCGGAUCAGCCUGCCGCGGUGAAUACGUUCCCGGGCCUUGUACACACCGCCCGUCACAUCGUAACAAGGUAGCACGUAGAGUUUGAUCGUGGGCUCACCAUGUCGUAGCCAACGUAGCUGUAGAUGUAACCCCGCU
rnacentral:rRNA from 2 species